rnacentral:miRNA from 1 species
UCGACGUUUCAGCCAAACUUCAUGGCUUUCAUCAGGAUCUUAACAGCUCAAAAGCUGUUAAGAUCCUGAUGAAAGCCAUGAAGUUUGGCUGAAACGU